rnacentral:rRNA from 1 species
CACGUAGGGCGCAAGCGUUGUCCGGAAUUAUUGGGCGUAAAGGGCUCGUAGGCGGUUUGUUGCGUCGGGAGUGAAAACUUACAGCUUAACUGUGAGCGUGCUUCCGAUACGGGCAGACUUGAGGUAUUCAGGGGAGAACGGAAUUCCUGGUGUAGCGGUGAAAUGCGCAGAUAUCGUAAGGAAGACCAGUGGCGAAGGCGGGUCUCUGGACAGUUCCUGACGCUGAGGCACGAAGGCCAGGGGAGCAAACGGG